GAUUUUACUCUGCCUCCAUCAACAGGCACUGGCUGGCAAAGUUGUUGUGUCCCAAUGGAGACUCUUAGGCAAGACGGGAGGAGUUCGGAUCCGCAGCCUGCCAGAAGAAUGUUGCCCGGGAGGGGUCGCUUGAGCUAUAGGCGCUGGUGCCGAAGCCCAGUUGGGCAGUCGAAGGAGCCUCGUCGCAGCUGGGAGCUCUGCGGAGAUGCGCAGCCGGCUGUGGAGGAUGAGCUCUGACUUGCAGCGUGGACACAG